GGAGGUGAGUCGAGGCGAGGUGAGCCGGUACCAGGUGAUGGAAAAGGGGCUAAAGAGACUAUGUGGCGCAAUAUCAGCUGUGAAAGGCCCUCAAUCCUCCAUCCUGUAGCCCUGAUCUUGAAGAGACACCCCGUGUUUCAGUUUAUGCUCCUUUGUUGUAAAGUAUUUUAUCAAUUUGCUAUAUUUUUUCAUUGCAAGAACUGUGAGACAGCAACCAAAUAUUAUUUUCAUUAUCAAUACAUCUGACAAAUAUUUUCCUUAAUAAUUGAUUGAUUUUUGAUUUUGUAUAAAUUGACAAACAGUGAAAAUGACUAUUAUAGUUUCCUGAUUUCCAAGUUAACACAUUCAAAUUGCUUGUUUUGUCUGAUGAUAUUCAAAAACACUAAAAUACUGAAUUUACUAGAAAACUGGAAAGCACAUAAUCACAUUUAAAAAGUUGGGUUUUGGUGUUUUUGCUUAGAAAAAACUUGCCCUGUAUAGUGGAGGUAAAAAUAGGCACUCAGGUUAAUCAUGCCUGAACAGGACAUUUGUUAGGAAGAAGUGGUUUUGUUGACACAGUUGUGUGGGAUUUUUUUUUUUUAGAGCUGCUUUGU